AUAGGACAGUAUCGUCAGUGGAUACAUUUUAAUACAUGGUCUUCAACAUAUAUUGAGAAUGUAAUAAGAUUAUAGGGGGCAUUACGAUGUGGAUAUUAAGCAAAUAAGGAUGUCUAUAAAAAAAAAAACAAGUAAGCUGGAAAAAUACAGGAAAAUCAUAAUAGAAUUGAGAAUGGUAAUGAGGAAUGUAUCAAAGAGAAAACAACUCGACCAUAGAGCAUACAACAGCCGAGGUUCACCACUGGGUCUUUGCUAACUUAUAAUUUCAGAC
rnacentral:lncRNA from 1 species